rnacentral:rRNA from 1 species
AUGAAGCCCAUCGUCGUCCACGCCGCUGCCGUGGACCGCCGGUGGCUGCUCCCUCUGGCCGUCGGCUCCGCGCUGUCGCUCUUCCUCCUCGUCCUCCUCACCACCGUCCCGCUCCCCUUCUUCCCCUCCUCCUCGCCCUCCCCGGCGCUCUUCGUGGAGCACAAGCUCGCCCCAACCCCGCCGGCCUCCCGCGCCGCCGGAUCCCUCCCCCGCAUCGCCUACGUCAUCUCCGGAUCCGCCAGGGACGCCGCCGCGCUCCGCCGCGUCCUCCUCGCGCUCUACCACCCCAGGCACCUCUACGUGCUGCACCUAGAUGCCGAGGCGCCCGAGUCCGACCGCCGGGGCCUCGCCGCCGGCCUCGCGGCGCACCCCGUCAUAGCCGCCGCCGGCAACGUCCGCGUCGUCGAGCGGGCCAACCUCGUCACCUACCGCGGGCCCACCAUGGUCGCCAGCACCCUGCACGCCGCCGCGGCCCUCCUCUGGGGCCACUCCGGCGCCGGCGGGUCCGACUGGGACUGGUUCAUCAACCUCUCCGCCUCCGACUACCCGCUCGUCACGCAGGACGAUCUGAUCCAUGUCUUCUCCAAGCUGCCGCGUGAUCUCAACUUCAUCGACCACACCAGCAACAUCGGAUGGAAGGAGUUUCAGAGGGCGAAGCCGGUCAUCAUCGACCCGGGGCUCUACAUGAAGAAGAAGGCGGACGUGUUCUGGAUACCACAGCGCCGGAGCGUGCCAACAGCCUUCAAGCUAUUCACUGGUUCAGCGUGGAUGGCGCUGUCCAGGUCGCUGGUCGAGUACAGCAUAUGGGGCUGGGACAACCUGCCCCGCACCGUCCUCAUGUACUACUCCAACUUCAUCUCCUCCCCGGAGGGCUACUUCCACACCGUGGUCUGCAACGCGGAGGAGUUCAAGAACACGACGGUGAACCACGACCUGCACUACAUCUCGUGGGACAACCCCCCGAAGCAGCACCCGCACUACCUCACGAUGGACGACCUGGACCGGAUGAUCGCCAGCGACGCGCCCUUCGCCCGCAAGUUCCACGCGGACGAGCCCGUGCUGGACCGGAUCGACGCGGAGCUCCUGUCCCGCCGCGCCGGCCCGGACGCGCCCACCCCCGGAGGCUGGUGCGCGGGGACAGGGGACAACGGGAGCGACCCCUGCUCGGUCGUCGGGAACACCAGCUUCCUUCAGCCUGGCCGCGGGGCCGUGCGGCUCCAGCGGCUCGUCACGUCGCUCCUGUCGGAGGAGAAGUUCCACCCGCGGCAGUGCAAGUGA